rnacentral:rRNA from 1 species
GAUGAACGCUGGCGGCGUGCCUAAUACAUGCAAGUCGAGCGAACAGACGAGGAGCUUGCUCCUCUGACGUUAGCGGCGGACGGGUGAGUAACACGUGGAUAACCUACCUAUAAGACUGGGAUAACUUCGGGAAACCGGAGCUAAUACCGGAUAAUAUAUUGAACCGCAUGGUUCAAUAGUGAAAGACGGUUUUGCUGUCACUUAUAGAUGGAUCCGCGCCGCAUUAGCUAGUUGGUAAGGUAACGGCUUACCAAGGCAACGAUGCGUAGCCGACCUGAGAGGGUGAUCGGCCACACUUGAACUGAGACACGGUCCAGACUCCUACGGGAGGCAGCAGUAGGGAAUCUUCCGCAAUGGGCGAAAGCCUGACGGAGCAACGCCGCGUUAGUGAUGAAGGUCUUCGGAUCGUAAAACUCUGUUAUUAGGGAAGAACAAAUGUGUAAGUAACUAUGCACGUCUUGACGGUACCUAAUCAGAAAGCCACGGCUAACUACGUG